rnacentral:rRNA from 1 species
AUUGAACGCUGGCGGCAGGCCUAACACAUGCAAGUCGAACGAGUGGCGGACGGGUGAGUAACGUCUGGGAAACUGCUUGAUGGAUGGGGAUAAUUACUGGAAACGGUAGUUAAAACCGCAUACCAUUAGAUUCUCCCUGAGUGUAGUAGCUUGUUGGUGGGGUAACGGCUCACCAAGGCGACGAUCCCUAGCUGGUCUGAGAGGAUGACCGGCCACACUGGAACUGAGACACGGUCCAGACUCCUACGGGAGGCAGCAGUGGGGAAUAUUGCGCAAUGGGCGAAAGCCUGAUGCAGCCAUGCCGCGUGUAUGAAGAAGGCCUUCGGGUUGUAAAGUACUUUCAGCGGGGAGGCGUUACCCGCAGAAGAAGCACCGGCUAACUCCGUGCCAGCAGCCGCGGUAAUAC